CAUCGAUUGGCAGAGACAAUCUAACCCAGACACAGAGGAGACGGAGCAUAAAAUUGGGCGGACUGAUUCAGAGGUUUGUUUUGAUUUUUAAAAUCAUUUAUUAAAAAUAAAAUGAGUGUGUGUGCGUGUGGGGAGGGGGGAACAGGAUUCCCUAACACAAACGGGCUGUCGGCAGAAGAGGUACAAAUGAAAGCGCGCUCUCUAAAUCUCCAAAGCACUAAAUGUAGAGAAAUGCGCAAUUAUCCUGGGACUCGCCCGGAGAAGGCAGCCUCCGGAGUGGAAGGCGAUCCCGAUCCUCCCGCCAGAGGAAAAGCUAACGAGUGGACUGGAAUUUCCCGCGACUGCCUGAGUGAACUGCUCAAGAUCCGAAGUCGUAAACCAUCCCACCCCGUCGCCGGGCCCGGAUUUUCUUUCAAAGAAAGUUUCCCUAAAUCCAAAGGAGAAAAGAAGAGAUGUCAAUGGGCGAGAAACCCCGAAAAGCCAACUUUGGAGGGAAAUAAUGAAGCCAAGAGAAAGACCAAUGAAUACCGGGACCUGAGCUGUGAUGCCAGCAGGGUACAGAAAGUCAUCACCAUGGAGACCAGAGAAAAGUACAAGGAAAUCACACAGAUCUCUGGACACUUUCUUCCUUACUUGGAUGAGGACACAGUUAAUUUCACCUACCCUUCACAUAUAUGAUACCAUCCUGGAGAGCUGAAGCAGAAUGGAAAUCUGAGAGACUGAUUAAAUUUAUCUAAGGAGGCCAAGCUUUAUGGAAACCAACUGUUUAAAUUGUAAUGGACUAAAGGUACCAGAUAAUUCUUAGGUUCAUUUGGUUGUUGGGGGGGUGCUCA
rnacentral:lncRNA from 1 species